CUUAGCGGGAAGAUUGCUGCCAAGAAAGGUCCUAAUCCAGCGAAGCACUUAAGCAUGUGCUUAAUUUUAAGUAUAGUGAUUACUCAUAUGAUUAAAGUUAGGUUUAAACACUUUGGACUGGGACCUAGAUCAUUACAUCUCCUACUAAGAGAGACUGUGGGAGAAACUGAGAGACAGCAGUGCAGGAUAGGAAUAAUUGGUGAAGACUUGUCAGAGAAGGACAUCCACUUUUGAGGAAAAUCGCCUUGCGCUGGUCACAGAAAAAUGACAGAAAGAAAGGACAGAUGACUGUCAUGCAGCAAUCAUGGCCCAGUCCUGACUUCCAACAAUCAGAGUCCUCAGUCACCAAAGGAUUCAUUUAAAAAAAAACAACUGUGAAAGAGAUCAUCCUCUACCUUGAGGGAUCACAGAACCACAGAUGGGAUUACUGAUUCUGGAUACCAGAGACAUACAGUCAGUCUCCCUUCCCUAUUUGCUGUUGAUAUGCUCCACCUCAGGAUCCUGCUGGAAAAGAUCUUCUUGGCAAGCUUAAUCUUACACAAACUCUUAGCUAGCAGGAUGAAUUGGGGGAUCCUGGAGUGGUGACAAACUGACACACAUUCAACAAAACAACCCUGAUUGGCCUUCCAAGAGCUCUGCUCUUUGUCUCCCCAAGCAGCAGGUAGGUACAGUAAUACAGCACUCUGAUCUGUCUGUAAAAUUCCAACUUGGUUAUUGGUGGUGACACAUGAUACCUUUCAGCAAACAGUGUGAUCAUGUUUGAGUGGGCCAGAAGGAGCUAUCCCCUUUGGUGGUGGUGUAAGGCAUCCAGCUACAGUGAGCCAUAACCAAUGAAUUGUGAGCCUGGCCCCUUUUACUUCAAUGGCCGGGCAGAUAACUCAAACCAAGCCCUGCAAGAGGUAGGAAAAAUGGAUAUGCCCUUCUAGGGGCUUGUUCUUCAU